UGUGCAUUUUUGCUGAAUAGGCAGCUUCAGAAAGAUUAACUAACCUCAGACACAGCACUAGAAGAGUAUUUUUGCAAGGAGGAAAAGAAACCCUCUCCUCCUGCAUAAGCUAUAUUCUCAGUUUUGAUAUGUUCUGUGCGGAUCCAUAGAAAUUGAAUAGAAAUUGAAUCCAUGACUUCUUUAAACCUUUUGGUAGAUGUAUACCGGCAGGUGAUACAUGGAGGAAAAGGUUUCUUGUCACCUAUAGGAAUCACAUCCGUGGGUCACAUAAGGCAGGGAAGGACUUUGCAUCUUAGCCAGCUGUCCUGUGUUUAGGACCAUGCAAUUGCCCUGUUAGUUAUCUUCUAUCACCUUCCCACUCAGAAAGCAGUCCAAGUUUUCCAUUUAGCCACAUAUUACAGACUAAGCCAUCAGUUCCAUGUGAACUAGAAAUCAAAAGUGAAUCUGGUCUGAUGAACCAAGAAUAAACAUAUUAUUCAUCUUACCUGGCUGAUUUGUUUCAUACCACUAGUGAUUUUCCCAGAGACUGAUUCUGCAUAUGACUAAUGGAAUUUUUGGAGGGUCAGACAUUCCAAAGUUGUCUAUUCAAGGGAAGAAAUUUCAUGUUUCAGCAACUGCAAAAUGUUGGCUGCAGUUACUACAAAGAAUGGAAUUGCAAUUAGUCUCCUACAAUCUUUAUAGGCAUGCCUGAAAAACAAAGAUGUCAAUAUUGCAAGUCUGAGAGGUCAGUAAGGCAGUAUCCUUUCCUGACAGACAACAGACUGUGCAUGCCUCAGUACUCCCACUUGCUGGGCUGGUAGAAAUAAUGUUUAUUGUGUGGCAGAGCAGCUUCAGUUUUAGGGCAGGGGUGCUGCCUCUGUGGUUCUUUGGAAUCCUCUUUGCCAGAAAGCAACCCUGUAUUAUCCUCCAGAGAUCAGCCAGGGCUGGUCUCCCAUCUGUUCAUGGAUCUGCACCUGUUUUUCAUUUUUACCAAUAGUGGCCACAUGGCCUAAGACUGUGGGGAAUACAAAGAAGAAAAUGAAUGUGUAGUUCAGGCACUGGGGGGUUGGACUUAAAAGUUCUGAGUUCAAAUCCUGACUGUGCUGGGUGAGUCACGUGUUGAAGAUGCAGCUGGAUGAAGAUGGAAAGACUGGUGAAUGACUGGGAAUAGAAUUACACAGCAGGCCUGAGGUACCAUCCCUCACUGUACCCUGACAACUUGUGCUUUAUGUUACCGUUAAUGCUUCUAAAGAGUGAGAGUGUGACUUACCUGCGAAGUCCUACCUUCCCCAGAAAGACUUGAAGGCUAAGCCUGGAUUCAGACUUUGCAGGUGAUGAGGCCUCAUUUCAAGAAGUUGCUUAUGCAGGAAUAGUACUAGUAGCUUCAAGUGUCUAAGUAAUCCUGCACAUCCUGAGUUGGACACAAGCUCAGAUGCCAGCCUGACUAGGCUUCAGUCAUAAUAAAUUUACCUGCCAGCAAAUUUUAGUAUGUUAACUGCUGACAUCGACUACACCCAUAGAAGAAGUUCCUGACAAGCUGCAACAAGACUUAGGAAGGUUCUGAAAAACUUAGUCAUAGGGCAUAAAUAAAUCAUUGUGUGCUAUUAAAGAAGAUGAAUUUGAGUCUAGCUCAAUACCAAAUAAUUCACACUGAAUGAGAUGACUCUAACUGCUGCAGAUUUGAAUAGCAUCUGAAUGAAAUUUGUUAGUGCCUUUACAAUGAAGUCUGCAACGUGAAGAUAUGAUGAUGGCCAUGGUUUAUAUGACUAAGUGGUUGUUAUACCAACCUAGCCAGCAGGCAUGACUGCACCUGAUUUGACUGCCUUUCUUCAGAAGUGAACAGAAACAGCUGUUCAAACAGCUGAAGGUGUUUUCCUAUCCCUGUGACUACCAUUGCUUUAACCUGAGAAGAGUGGUUGAAGCUGGAGUAAUGAUAUCUUCU